rnacentral:rRNA from 1 species
UAAGGAAUAUUGCGCAAUGGGGGAAACCCUGACGCAGCAACGCCGCGUGGAGGAUGACACUUUUCGGAGCGUAAACUCCUUUUAUCAGGAAAGAAUAAUGACGGUACCUGAUGAAUAAGCACCGGCUAACUCCGUGCCAGCAGCCGCGGUAAUACGGGGGGUGCAAGCGUUACUCGGAAUCACUGGGCGUAAAGGACGCGUAGGCGGAUUAUCAAGUCUUUUGUGAAAUCUAGUAGCUUAACCACUAAACUGCUUAGGAAACUGAUAGUCUAGAGUAGGGGAGAGGUAGAUGGAAUUCUUGGUGUAGGGGUAAAAUCCGUAGAGAUCAAGAAGAAUACCCAUUGCGAAAGCGAUCUGCUGGAACCUAACUGACGCUGAGGCGUGAAAGCGUGGGUAGCAAACAGG